rnacentral:misc_RNA from 2 species
AACGCACCUUGCACUCUUUGGUAUUCCGAAGAGUAUGUCUGUUUGAGUGUCGUGAAACUCUCAACCCCCCCUUUUUGUAACGAGAUGGGCGUGGGCUUGGAUUAUGGCCGUCUGUCGGUUCUAAUUGAAUCGGCUCGGCUGAAAUACAUGAGCGACCACACUGAAUACAGUGACGGCUUGACUCGGCGUAAUAAUCUUUUCGCUGAGGACGUCCAUUUUUUUCAGAUAGGCGCUUCUAAUGCUAUAAAUCUUUUUUAGCUUUAGACCUCAAAUCAGUCAGGACUACCCGCUGAACUUAA